GAUGAACGCUGGCGGUAUGCUUAACACAUGCAAGUCGAACGGUCACUUCGGUGAUAGUGGCGGACGGGUGCGUAACGCGUGAGAAUCUGUCUUCAGGUCGGGGACAACAGUUAGAAAUGACUGCUAAUACCGGAUGUGCCUUUGGGUGAAAGAUUUAUUGCCUGAAAAAGAGCUCGCGUCAGCUUAGCUAGUAGGUGGUGUAAGAGACUACCUAGACUCCGAUCUGUAGCUGGUCUGAGAGGACGAUCAGCCACACUGGAACUGAGACACGGUCCAGACUCCUACGGGAGGCAGCAGAGAGGAAUUUUCCGCAAUGGGCGAAAGCCUGACGGAGCAAGACCGCGUGAGGGACGAAGGCUUUUGGGUCGGAAACCUCUUUUCUCAAGGAAGAUGAUGACGGUACUUGAGGAAUAAGCAUCGGCUAACUCUGUG
rnacentral:rRNA from 1 species